GUGCGGACUCUCUGUCGACGCGCUCUCCAUUCUCGCUCCUGGAAUAGCGCUUUGUCGCGUCUACUGCACAAAAAAUUAUAAAGACGAAGUAUCAGAAGAUAAGAGCAGCAAAUCUGGCACUCGGUCGCCGUCUUUAUCAGUAAAAGAAAGCCGCUUUAGCGCGAUGAAGAGUAAUAUCCAGUGAGAGAUGGUGGUGGCCUCCCUGCAUCAGCUGUGAGGUGAGACACCGACACCUGCUCAACCUUCCUCAACCCUCCUAGACCCUCCUCUCACACCUUCCUCAACCCUCCUAGACCCUCCUCCCACACCUUCCUCAACCCUCCUAGACCCUCCUCACACACCUUCCUAGACCUCCCUCCCUCCAACAAGCUGAGACAGGCUCCUGAGGAAGGUGAUCCAGCAAUCAUGCAGGUGCCUAUUAGUGCCCAUUGUAGUGCCACCUUGAGAACACACAAUUCGUACCAAUUAUAAUGGGGGAUUUGCAUGGAACUUACACACCUUGCUGAACGGAUGCCUAUCUGCAAGGGUGCCAAUUAUGAACGAAAUUGGUCGACGUCAAGCUCGGCUACAGGUGGCUAUAACUUUGAUCAUAUUUUACUCAGGGUGUGAUGCUGAAACUUGGACCAGUUGCAGCCCUUUCUAUAACCAUUCCAUGAUUAAAUU